CACUAUGUUUCGAAACAAAAACACAUAACCUAAAUUCUUAUCUUGUUCUUUCUGUAGAUUACUCCCCUCCUUCACCGGCAAGAGACGAUUUUACAGAAAAUGAUGAUGAUUCGAUUGCGUCUUCAUUUGAAACGCCAUUGCCUAUCUCUACUGGGGACGGUGACCGAAGAGAGAGAGAAACCAUACCAAUCUGGGCAAAGAAUAUCAACGCGACAUUGGAGGUUCUGCUCCGAAGGCUUGAGACUGUUGAGCAGAAUCAGAGAGAGGCUCUAUUAUUGCUACGGGCAAAUCGACAUGGGGACCCUGGGGAAGCUAGUGUCGAGUUACUGCAGGCGCAAACUCAGGCCGAACUACAGGAACUUGAGGAGCACCUUAAAAAUAGAGAUUUCACAAAAAAAAUGAUUUCCCAUCUGAGCCUAGUUGGGGGGUCCAAUCCUGGGGAGUGUGUGAGGAGGGUGUUGCGCUCUGUGGCCUCAAACUUUGUUUGGAGCAGCUACAGCCUUAGGGGAAAGAAGGGGAAGAUGCCACUGCUUGGCACAGCAGUGGGCAGUACCAUCAAACAGGCGAUCAUGAAAUGGAAGCCGGGGCUGGAAGAGAAGGAGGUGGAGCUUCUGAUGGCAGAGGUCUUGAAACAUGCCCCCUCAGCCCACUCCAAAAGUUUGAAGGGUUGGAUGGAACGGCAGGCGGAAGAACAUCCCCAAAAUUGAAUUCAAAAUUAUUUGAAAUAAAAAUAUAAUAAAUUGAUAUUUGUUAGUGUACUGUCUUGUCUUUUGAAUAGGCUUGGGGUCCACAUUAGCAACAGCCACCAGCCAAAAUGUAGGUAAAAUAUUUAUGUGGCUUGUAGAUUUCAGACUAGAUUUUGUGGGUUCUAUA